rnacentral:rRNA from 1 species
UGGGGAAUAUUGGACAAUGGGGGCAACCCUGAUCCAGCAAUGCCGCGUGAGUGAAGAAGGCCUUCGGGUUGUAAAGCUCUUAGCCGACGAAUAUAAUGACUGUAGUCGGAGAAUAAGCCCCGGCUAACUUCGUGCCAGCAGCCGCGGUAAUACGAAGGGGGCGAGCGUUAUUCGGAAUCACUGGGCGUAAAGCGUGCGUAGGCUGCUUUGUAAGUCAGAAGUGAAAGCCCAGGGCUUAACCCUGGAAUUGCUUUUGAAACUACAAGGCUCGAAUUCGGGAGAGGAUAGCGGAAUUGUCAGUGUAGCAGUGAAAUGCGUAGAUAUUGACAGGAACACCAGUGGCGAAGGCGGCUCACUGGCUCGAUACUGACGCUGAGGUGCGAAAGCGUGGGGAUCGAACAGGAUUAGAUACCC